UACAGAGGUGGCAAGCGUUGUUCGGAAUUACUGGGCGUAAAGGGCGCGUAGGCGGUUCGUUAAGUCCUGUGUGAAAUCCCCCGGCUCAACUGGGGAACUGCACAGGAAACUAGCGGGCUUGAGUUCGGGAGAGGGAAGCGGAAUUCCGGGUGUAGCAGUGAAAUGCGUAGAUAUCGAGAGGAACACCAGUGGCGAAGGCGAGUCUCUGGACGACUCCUGACACUCAGGCACGAAAGCUAGGGGAGCAAACAGG
rnacentral:rRNA from 1 species